CUCUUCUGCGCCCCCCCCGCUAGCCCCGGGGCCUGGCUCGUCCUUCCCAGGAGCCGGCUGCACCAGAGGCCCAGAACCCAUGACCCAUGAAGUCUUGUCAACAUUCACACCAUCGAAGGCUAUCAGCAAUGAACUAGAAGAAGCAGGUGAGGCUUUCUGCCUACAGUGUAAUAUCUCUGGCCUAUUGGGUCAGUCAUGUUUUCAUGUUUUGUGUUGCCCCUUGAAGGUAAAGUACUUCUCUUCUUUCAAUAUUGGAAGGGUCCAGCUUUGAGUGAAACCUUGGCUAAGCAGGUUGGUUUUAGUUUAGCUCAGAUGCUCUUUUAGUCAGAACUCAUGGUAGCCUCUUUCCCCUGGGGUGGCCUCAUGAACCCUCCCCAUUCCCUGAGGCAAAUUCCAUUUGACAUGUUGGAUACAGGCCAUUUCCUAUGGAUUUGGAGUCUGAGACUGCUGUGGAAAAGUCCUGCUUAGCUUUGGGUGAGAAACGUCCUGUGUUUAUGUGUCUAUCAACGGUAUUAGAGCAAAUGCCUUCUGAACUGAUGUACCGGGCAGUGUUUAUCUCACAAAACCCAGAGGGAUUCUACAUCAUUCCAUCUUUUGAAAUAAAGUUAAGAAAUAAUUCUCUUUUCCUAAUGGUGAAUUUGGCCUUAUCUUCAAAGAAGGCCUCUGAUGUUUGGGACAGGAUUGUUGGGCGGUAAGAGGAAAUCAGAGGAGAAAGAUCAGAGCCAAUGACACACAGUCAACGUAACUUGGUUGCCAGAGAAAACGUUGAGGAAAGACUCAAGUAGUUCUACCGCUUAUUAACAGGAAAGUCCAUAAUAUGGGUUGAAUAAAAAAAUCAUCCAAAAGGAGCUGAGCAGCAGAAAAUAUGGCAAAGAAAUAUUUAUUCAUCUCCAAAGUGAGUUUUGACAGCACUGCACAAGACGAGGGUGAUGAUGUGUGUGUAGAUUGAAGCCUUCAUCCUUUCAACAAGCUUUUAUUGAAAGCUCACUGUGUGCUUGGGGUCAAUACCAGAGCCCAUGCCUGCCUUCUAGAAUUCCAUGACUGAGCGAGGGGACAUAUAGGGCCCAGCAAUGCAAACUCCUGUGUAAAGUGCUUGAACUGGGUCUUGAAGAAGGGCUCCUAGAGGGCAGGGCCCAGUAUCUCAGGCUAAGUCCUAGAGUCAGAAGUGGGGCUGGCAGGACCAAGGUUCGAUUACCUCUGCCCACAGGUGUUGUUCAUUUUCUGGCUGAAAACUUGCUUUUCCUCAGAUGAUAAUAGGCUGAAGCAUUUUCUUUCUUUUGUUUUUUAAUCACCACCUGUGGCAUGCAGAAGUUCCUCCAGGCCAGGGAUCGAACCAGUUCCAUAGCAGUAACAGCCACAGCAGUGACAAUGCCAGAUCCUUAACCCACUGAGUCAUCGGGAAACUUCUGAGUUUCUUCUAAAUCUCUCUUAAGACAGGAGAUUUCAAGUUCAGAGUAUUUGUUUGUUUGUUUGUUUGUUUGUUUAGGGCUGUACCCACGGCAUAUGGAGGUCCCCAGGCUAGGGGUUUAAUCAGAGCUGCAGCCACCAACCUACACCACAACCAUAGCAACGUGGGAUCCAAGCUGCAUCUGCUGCCUACACCAUAGCUCAUGGCAACACGAGAUCCUUAGCCCACUGAGUGAGUCCAAGGAUCGAACCUGUGUUCUUAUGGAUACUAGUUGGAUUCAUUACCAGAGCCACAGUGGGAACUCCCAAGUUCAGACUGCAGCAUAGGUCCCAACUGUGGCUCAGAUCUGAUCCCUGGCCAGGGACUCCAAAUGCCGUGGGGUGGCCAAUUUUUUUUUUAAUGUUAUAAAAAUAAAAACUGGAAUCUCUGCAUUGAGUUCAGAGUCUUGGAACUGUGAGUCUUGGACCACAGUUAAAAGCAGUUACUGAGUAGCUUUCUAGGGAAAAAGAAGAAAUGUGUAAUCUUUUCUUUCUCAUCCAGAUUUUAGCCAGGAAGGCUAGAAACACACCUGAAUUCAGCUUUUUACUUGUUAGUUCCAUUUGCCCUUUGUUCUGCUCUCUGGAGCAGGUUUGCUAGGCUCCAAAAUCAUUCUAAGAGUAGCAAGAGAGGAGACAUUUAUUUUGGGGACAAAUAAAAGUUACUGGGCUCUCCAGUUGCCCAGGAACCUCCUUGGCUUCCUCGAGGUAGCUAUCACACAAGGUGGGAGCUGCAGGUAGGAGGAAGAGGGUGUGUGGAACCAGCGCGGGGCUGGAAUUAGACUCCUGCAGACCCACCCCGCUAAAUCCUGGCCCUGACAAAGUUUUUCCAGAGUCAUCCCAGCCAAGUGCCUUUACUAGUCUGAACUUACCUAACAUUACAAUCCCAGCAGGUUUAUUAGGUAUGGGUCACAGUUAAUUGGAGAGGAAAAUUGGGAGGUUCUGGGUUUAUUACUUUUCUGUGAAAGCAGAGGCUGCUCUUAAUUAUUUCACAAAUCGUCUCCUCCACUUAGCUCUCUCUCUGCUUUUCUGUCAAAUGACUGUCAUCCCACGGAGGUGUUAUGGGUAGCUCGCCCUCUUUGAUGUACCUGUGCCCACGUGAGGGGGAUUUCAUAAAGCAGUCAGUCAGCACAGUGCCCACUCUUGCAAGUGAGACCACAUAAAGUGAUGGAAAUUCAUAGCUGUUUACUUCUGUCAUUAUGAAUGGAUGUUUUGUAGUGAACAAGUUACAUAAAAAUCUGCUGUGUUCGAGCCAAGAGUUAGAGUAUAAUGGCCCUUCCAAUGUAUGGGCCUUCCGAGCAAUCACCUGUAACCCUCCCUGGACAGCGUUGGUGGUCUUGCCAUGGUGAAGGCCAAGUCAGCUCCAGGUGAAAGUGCCACAGUCAGGUGCCUCUCGUUCUAUAGCCUUCUGUUGCAGGGAUGGAGAGUCAGGCCCGGCUUUCGCCUGCCUGGACGGUGGCAGCUUGCCAGCAAGUUUCACUGGGUGGUCUUGGACAAUGGGAGAGAGGAGGGGUGGGGAGCUCAGCUCUCCUGCCCAAAGGGGGACCAGAAGGUUGGCAACCAAUCCCCUGUCACUGAAACACCACAAAGGUUCCGAGUGUGGGUGAAAAGAACAGAACAGGUUGCUGAAGGCAGUAUUGUGAUGGAGUUCAUUUUUGUUUCCCUGAUUUUACAAAUGAAGCCUUGCACAUAUGUGGCAAGUCCCGCCAAAGAGGGUGAGCACACACGAGCAGCAGGGGCCCUUCAUCACGGAAGGGGAGAGUUGCUGUCCCCACUCCUGGAAUCAGCCAUGGACACGGAGGGCAGGGAGAGACUGGCAAAUCCUAGUCCCCAAGAGGCAGUCCCUCCUGCCUCCACCAUCCUUCCGGUGACAUGGAAAGUGAGAGUUGCCAUUUUGUGAGACCUACUGUGUGCUAGGCCCUGUGCUAAGCACUAUGAGCACUGUCCCUGCAAAUGCCCCUCUCCUCCCCACCCUAGAAGGCCUGUGAAGAUGGGCAGCUUGAUCCUACUCUGAUCCUACUCUGCAGAUGAGAGAGUUGAAGCCGAAAUAAUUAUAGGGACUCAUUCCAGCUGAUAAGUGGCAGAGCCAAGAUUUCAUGGUAGGGCUGCUGACUCCAAAAGUCAGGCUUUGAGAGAAAAAAAAAAAAAAGGUAUCCAGACAAUCUCCCCCCUCCCCCAAAGCAGUGCCCCCUUAGCUUGGGAGAACUGUUUCUUUUGCAGCUAACAAAGUGGAAGGGACAGGUGGAAGCUUUUAUGAGACCUGCCUUAAGAGAAUGGAAAACUGGGGCCACAACUGGAAGGUUUUGACGGGCUGCACAGCAGCAGCAUGAGGGAAGCGGCUUCUAAGGCACAGCUAAUUGGGUCUCCCCCUGGAAUGUGUGCCCUGGCCUUUUCUCCCCUAGGACAUCAUGUGAAUUGGCUGUCUGAAUCUUUGCUUCCCACCUCAAUGCCAGCUCAAUCCAUUUGCUCCUCAGGCCACUGCAAGUCUGAUCAAGCAGGUCCUCUGGGCCCUUGGUGAGGUGAGGAGGAGAAGGCGUUUUGCCCAGCAGAUAUUUUCCUGGUCAGGAGAAGUGGCAGCUUGUGCAGAAAAAUAGCAGCUUUGACAGACAGGUAACUGACAGGAGAUGGUACCUUCCAGGCAAAUACUCAGAGAGCAGCCAGCAGAAAGAAUUCUGCAGGCCGUCACCUGCACAGCAAAACCGACCUCUCCCUGCUGGCUUCAGAGAGGGGAGAGAUUUGGCUGCGAUGAGCGUGCGGUUGCCCUCAAUUCCUUGUGUUUCUUUAACAAACGUGGAAAGCCCAAGCCAGGAUGUUCUGGCUUCAGAAGGGGUGGGGCGUGCACAGGACACCUGGGUUUAAGUUGUCAUUAUGAGGAGUUCCCGUUGUGGCUCAGCGGUAACGAGCCCAACUAGUAUCCAUGAGGACAAAGGUUUGAUCCCUAGUCUCCUCAGUGGAUCAGGGAUCUGGUGUUGCCGUGAGCUGUGGUGUAGGUCACAGACACGGCUAGGAUCCCUCAUUGUCGUGGCUGUGGUGUAGGCUGGCAGCUGUAGCUCCAAUUCGACCCUUAGCCUGGGAACUUCCAUG
ensembl:lncRNA